rnacentral:ncRNA from 2 species
AAAAUGCGAUAAGUAAUGUGAAUUGCAGAAUUCAGUGAAUCAUCGAAUCUUUGAACGCACAUUGCGCCCGCCAGUAUUCUGGCGGGCAUGCCUGUUCGAGCGUCAUUUCAACCCUCAAGCCCUCGGGUUUGGUGUUGGGGAUCGGCGAGCCUUUCUGGCAAGCCGGCCCCGAAAUCUAGUGGCGGUCUCGCUGCAGCCUCCAUUGCGUAGUAGUAAAACCCUCGCAACUGGAACGCGGCGCGGCCAAGCCGUUAAACCCCCAACUUCUGAAUGUUGACCUCGGAUCAGGUAGGAAUACCCGCUGAACUUAA